UCUACCCCGAAACAGCCCCGACGCCCCCGAUUCCAAACCGGUUCGUUAAAGGUUAUUGCAGAAGAAAUUGAUAUACCUUUGGAGAGGAGAAAUUGCCUAGCAGCAGAAGGAAUUGAAUUCACGGCAGUUUUGUAUUUUUUUUAUCCUCAAACUGUGAUGUCAAGCAAGAAUUGUGGCAGGAGUCAGUAAAUUGCGAUUUUGUACUCGCAGAAUUGAAUUUGAAGGGAUAAUACCUUUAGUUU